AACGCGAAGAACCUUACCUGGGCUUGAACCGCUACUGACCAAGGGUAGAAAUAUCCUCUUCCCGCAAGGGACAGUAGUAGAGGUGCUGCAUGGCUGUCGUCAGCUCGUGCCGUGAGGUGUUGGGUUAAGUCCCGCAACGAGCGCAACCCUUACUCGUAGUUGCCACCCGCAAGGGGGAACUCUACGAGGACUGCUCCGGAUAACGGAGAGGAAGGUGGGGAUGACGUCAAGUCAGCACGGCCUUUAUGUCCAGGGCUACACACGUGUUACAAUGGGCGGUACAAAGCGCUGCCAACCCGCGAGGGGGAGCUAAUCGCCAAAAACCGUCCUCAGUUCGGAUUGCAGGCUGCAACUCGCCUGCAUGAAGCUGGAAUCGCUAGUAAUGCUAUAUCAGAACGAUAGCGUGAAUACGUUCCCGGGCCUUGUACACACCGGACAUA
rnacentral:rRNA from 1 species